GGUUACCAAUUUUGUCAAAUAAUUGGCGUCCCUGCUUUUUGGGUGACCCAUGGGUACAUUUUCUAGGAGUUCCUGCUCCUGAGAUAACCCAUUAUGUCAAUUAUUUGUGGCGUCCCUGCUAUUCAGAUAGCCUGAACAAUAUACUUGCCUAUAUAUAUAUAUAUAUUAAAUUAUUAUAACUUUGUACCGAGAAGAUUAUCCAACAGUACACGGCAACAAAAAUUGACUUGUUCCUAAUAGGUAACAUACAAACAAGGAUAUUCAUUUUAUGUAACCCUUAAUGAAGGUGCACCCAAUCUUAAAGACGACUGACUGAUUGCAAAUAUUAAUAUUGAACAU
rnacentral:lncRNA from 1 species